UAUGAUAUGGCAGCAGCAGGUUUGCGCCGCAGGUGCAGUGAGUAGUAAAGGAAUCUUGGGUGCAGUUGCCCGUUAGGAGCUAGGGUGACUCAUCCUAUCAGAGUUCGUGCGCAACCAUCCCCAGAAAAGAGUGCCAGUGUUCGGGGCAUGGUAGUUGAUGGCUGCUCCGCGUCACUUUAGUGUAUGUGAUGCAGUGCAUGGGUGUAUGUGAUACACGUUUGUCUGGUCUCUGGCGAAUAAAAGUUUAGCUUUCGCUAUAUUCUCGAAAAGCCGCAAAAUAUCCUGGAUUUCGGGCGA